rnacentral:rRNA from 1 species
UACGUAGGCAGCGAGCGUUGUUCGGAGUUACUGGGCGUAAAGAGUGCGUAGGCGGUUUUCUAAGUUUGGUGUGAAAUCUCCCGGCUUAACUGGGAGGGUGCGCCGAAAACUGGAAGGCUUGAGUAUGGGAGAGGUAAGCGGAAUUCCUGGUGUAGCGGUGAAAUGCGUAGAGCUCGGGAAGAACAUCGGUGGCGAAAGCGCUCUACUGGACGACAACUGACACUCAGGGACGAAAGCUAGGGGAGCGAAUGGG